rnacentral:rRNA from 1 species
GGGGCUUUCGGAUAUUGGGCGUAAGAGCUCGUAGGCGGUUUGUCGCGUCUGCCGUGAAAGUCCGGGGCUCAACUCCGGAUCUGCGGUGGGUACGGGCAGACUAGAGUGAUGUAGGGGAGACUGGAAUUCCUGGUGUAGCGGUGAAAUGCGCAGAUAUCAGGAGGAACACCGAUGGCGAAGGCAGGUCUCUGGGCAUUAACUGACGCUGAGGAGCGAAAGCAUGGGGAGCGAACAGGAUUAGAUACCCUGGUAGUCCAUGCCGUAAACGUUGGGCACUAGGUGUGGGGGACAUUCCACGUUUUCCGCGCCGUAGCUAACGCAUUAAGUGCCCCGCCUGGGGAGUACGGCCGCAAGGCUAAAACUCAAAGGAAUUGACGGGGGCCCGCACAAGCGGCGGAGCAUGCGGAUUAAUUCGAUGCAACGCGAAGAACCUUACCAAGGCUUGACAUGAACCGGUAAGACCUGGAAACAGGUCCCCCACUUGUGGCCGGUUUACAGGUGGUGCAUGGUUGUCGUCAGCUCGUGUCGUGAGAUGUUGGGUUAAGUCCCGCAACGAGCGCAACCCUCGUUCCAUGUUGCCAGCGCGUUAUGGCGGGGACUCAUGGGAGACUGCCGGGGUCAACUCGGAGGAAGGUGGGGACGACGUCAAAUCAUCAUGCCCCUUAUGUCUUGGGCUUCACGCAUGCUACAAUGGCCGGUACAAAGGGUUGCGAUACUGUGAGGUGGAGCUAAUCCCAAAAAGCCGGUCUCAGUUCGGAUUGGGGUCUGCAACUCGACCCCAUGAAGUCGGAGUCGCUAGUAAUCGCAGAUCAGCAACGCUGCGGUGAAUACGUUCCCGGGCCUUGUACACACCGCCCGUCAAGUCACGAAAGUUGGUAACACCCGAAGCCGGUGGCCUAACCCCUUGUGGGAGGGAGCUGUCGAAUGUGGGACUGGCGAUUGGGACUAAGUCGUAACAAGGUAAC